AUAAAACAAUGAUACCAAUGUGCAAUCACGUGAUUGCAGACAGGCCUUUGUUUCUUUCCUUCACGUCUCUUUCUUUCACCAAAGCCCAUUCCAUUUCCAAAGCCUUCUCUAGAAGAGAGAGAGAGAGAUGGAGCCACCAGCAGCACAGGCCAUAGAGAGGAAUUACCAGGCAGGAGAAGAUGAACAGGACAAAGUUAUCAAUGAAUGUUGUUCUUGCUGUUAUGAUUGCACAGAGAAUUGCUUUGAUUACUUGUGCUGUUACAACCUCUGCUAAUUACGAGAGAAAUUAAAACUCUCGGAAUCACUGUUACUUACUUACCAUUGAUGUAGAAACUGGUUUCUUAUGGAUGGGAAAUCUUCCACAACUUAGUUGAAGAAUCACAGUACUUUUUAUUUCUUUCUUUUUUCCUUUUAAUUGUUUUAUGGGUAUAAUGCAAAUUUCGUAUUACUGGUUGGCUGUUUCUAGCAAGGAAAAUAAAUAAGACUAUUUUUCAUUAAAA